rnacentral:misc_RNA from 1 species
UUUGAGAUUUCAACUAAAUAUCCUCCGUCAAUAUUUUGAAAGUAAAUACAUGCAAGGAGUCAUCAAAUUACACCUCAAAAGCCAAGAAAUAUUAACAUUUUCCCAGUCCAAGAGAGGCAUAAAGUUGCAAAAGUGGAAGAACGCCAACAGUUAUCUGGAUCGUUGCAUCCAUGCAGACGUCCAUGUCCCAGCCAAAAGAUGGUUGUUGAUCACUAAAGCAUUAAGUCUAUCAAACUAAUCUCUUUCAACCAAAUAACUUCAAUCUGCACUCAAAGGACUGAAGAAUUAAC